UACGGGGGGGGCAAGCGUUGUUCGGAAUUACUGGGCGUAAAGGGCCAGUAGGCGGCCAACUAAGUCGGAUGUGAAAUCCCCAGGCUCAACUUGGGAACUGCAUCCGAUACUGGAUGGCUUGAAUUCGGGAGAGGGAUGCAGAAUUCCAGGUGUAGCGGUGAAAUGCGUAGAUAUCUGGAGGAAUACCGGUGGCGAAGGCGGCAUCCUGGACCGACAUUGACGCUGAACGGCGAAAGCUAGGGGAGCAAACGGGG
rnacentral:rRNA from 1 species